UGAGGAAUAUUGGUCAAUGGGCGAGAGCCUGAACCAGCCAAGUAGCGUGCAGGAUGACGGCCCUAUGGGUUGUAAACUGCUUUUACGCGGGGAUAAAGUGCGUGACGUGUCGCGCAUCGCAGGUACCGCGUGAAUAAGGACCGGCUAAUUCCGUGCCAGCAGCCGCGGUAAUACGGAAGGUUCGGGCGUUAUCCGGAUUUAUUGGGUUUAAAGGGAGCGUAGGCCGUUUGGUAAGCGUGUUGUGAAAUGUAGGAGCUCAACUUCUAGAUUGCAGCGCGAACUGUCAGACUUGAGUGCGCACAACGUAGGCGGAAUUCAUGGUGUAGCGGUGAAAUGCUUAGAUAUGACGAGGAACUCCGAUUGCGAAGGCAGCUGACGGGAGCGGCACUGACGCUUAAGCUCGAAGGUGCGGGUAUCAAACAGG
rnacentral:rRNA from 1 species